rnacentral:tRNA from 1 species
UUUAAUGAGGUGAUUUGUGCAUUUUACAUUUUGGAUGUAAAGGUGAUUAGAUAUCCAUUAAAA